UAGCUGUGCAGCCGGGGACAUGGCGACCU
rnacentral:sRNA from 1 species